rnacentral:lncRNA from 1 species
GCGAGGAUGGGCGGGGCUGCUUCUCCCUGCUGCCUGGCGCUGUUGCUGUGCUCUGGGAGGUGGAGCGCCUGAUUGUCAGCGAAGUGUGAGGAGUGUAUAUAAUACUCAAGAUUUCAAGACUGGACUUGCAGAUUUGGGAUUGAACUCAGGACCUUGCGCUUUCGAGGCAGACCACAGAACCCAGCCCAAUACCAUCAAAGUAUGAAUCUAAGAAUGGAUUAACGCACUGAUGAAGUUACAACCGUCACGGUAUGAUCACUUCCCAAAAGCCACCUCUGAACUUCGCUGCAUGGUGGUUCAGGCACUCAACAUAUGAGCCUUUAGAGAACAUUUCCAAUUCAAACUAUAAAAUAAAUUAUACAGCAUCUACC